rnacentral:rRNA from 1 species
AUUGAACGCUGGCGGCAUGCUUUACACAUGCAAGUCGAACGGCAGCACAGCAGAGGUAACUCUGUGGGUGGCGAGUGGCGAACGGGUGAGUAAUACAUCGGAACGUACCCUGUUGUGGGGGAUAACUACGCGAAAGCGUAGCUAAUACCGCAUACGCCCUGAGGGGGAAAGCGGGGGACCCUAAAUAGAGCGCACUGGGGAGUGCGUUGUAUUUAGGGCCUCGCGCAAUAGGAGCGGCCGAUGUCGGAUUAGCUAGUUGGUGAGGUAAAGGCUUACCAAGGCGACGAUCCGUAGCUGGUCUGAGAGGAUGAUCAGCCACACUGGGACUGAGACACGGCCCAGACUCCUACGGGAGGCAGCAGUGGGGAAUUUUGGACAAUGGGGGCAACCCUGAUCCAGCCAUGCCGCGUGAGUGAAGAGGGCCUCGGUUGUAAG